rnacentral:rRNA from 1 species
GUUUACCAAAAACAUGGCUUCUUGUAAUAACACUAGAUAGGGAGUCGGACCUGCCCAGUGAAUUUCUUUUUAACGGCCGCGGUACUCUGACCGUGCAAAGGUAGCAUAAUCAUUUGCCUUAUAAUUGAAGGCUAGUAUGAAUGGUUUGACAAGAAUAUAGCUGUCUCUUUAUAAUUUUAUAGAAUUUUAUUUUAAAGUGAAGAAGCUUUAAUCUCAUUAAAAGACAAGAAGACCCUAUCGAGCUUAAAAAAAAUCUAUAGAAAUUAAUUAAUAAUUGAUCUUAAAAAAUUAACUAUUGAAUAUUUUGGUUGGGGCGACUGAGGAACCAAUAAAGCUUCCUUUCAUAGUAACAACAUUCGUGUAUUGAUCCAAAAUUUUUGAUUAAAGAACAUAGUUACCGUAGGGAUAACAGCAUUAUCUUUUUUAAGAGCUCUUAUCGAAAAAAAGGUUUGUGACCUCGAUGUUGGACCAGAAUAUCCUAAAGAUGCAGACGUCUUUAAGGGUUGGUCUGUUCGACCAUUAAAAUUCUACGUGAUCUGAGUUCAGACCGG